rnacentral:rRNA from 1 species
CCUACGGGAGGCAGCAGUGGGGAAUUUUGGACAAUGGGCGAAAGCCUGAUCCAGCCAUGCCGCGUGAGUGAAGAAGGCCUUCGGGUUGUAAAGCUCUUUCAGCCGGAAAGAAAUCGCGCAGGCUAAUACUCUGCGUGGAUGACGGUACCGGAAGAAGAAGCACCGGCUAACUACGUGCCAGCAGCCGCGGUAAUACGUAGGGUGCGAGCGUUAAUCGGAAUUACUGGGCGUAAAGCGUGCGCAGGCGGUUAUAUAAGACAGAUGUGAAAUCCCCGGGCUCAACCUGGGAACUGCGUUUGUGACUGUAUGACUAGAGUACGGCAGAGGGAGGUGGAAUUCCGCGUGUAGCAGUGAAAUGCGUAGAUAUGCGGAGGAACACCGAUGGCGAAGGCAGCCUCCUGGGCCAGUACUGACGCUCAUGCACGAAAGCGUGGGGAGCAAACAGGAUUAGAUACCCUGGUAGUCCACGCCCUAAACGAUGUCAACUAGUUGUUCGGUGAGGACGACUCAUGUAGUAACGACGAGACUACGACGUGAGUAGACCGCCGUCGGGAGGUACGGACCGCGAACGGUUAAACGUAACGAAAGGAAGUAGACGGACGUAGAGACGNGCCGACGGACGACGACGAGGGGAGGAGG